AUUGAACGCUGGCGGCAGGCCUAACACAUGCAAGUCGAGCGCGUGGCGGACGGGUGAGUAAUGUUUGGGAAUCUGCCUGAUGGAGGGGGAUCACCACUGGAAACGGUAGCUAAUACCGCAUACCAUCAUAUGCACCCAUCUGGGAAUAGAUGGUAGGUGAGGUAACGGCUCACCUAGGCGACGCUCCCUAGCUGGUCUGAGAGGAAGAUCAGCCACACUGGGACUGAGACACGGCCCAGACUCCUACGGGAGGCAGCAGUGGGGAAUAUUGCACAAUGGGCGCAAGCCUGAUGCAGCCAUGCCGCGUGUAUGAAGAAGGCCUUCGGGUUGUAAAGUACUUUCAGUCGGGAGGCGUUACCGGCAGAAGAAGCACCGGCUAACUCCGUGCCAGCCGCCGCGGUAAUAC
rnacentral:rRNA from 1 species